UGUGUAGGAUAGAUGUGGUAAUAUGUAGGAUAGAUGUGGUAAUGUGUGGGAUAGAUGUGGUAAUGUUUGGUAAUGUGUGGGAUAGAUGUGGUAAUGUGUGGGAUAGAUGUGGUAAUGUGUGGGAUAGAUGUGGUAAUGUGUGGGAUAGAUGUGGUAAUGUUUGGUAAUGUGGGAUAGAUGUGGUAAUGUGUGGGAUAGAUGUGGUAAUGUUUGGUAAUGUGUGGGAUAGAUGUGGUAAUGUGUAGGAUAGAUGUGGUAAUGUGUGGGAUAGAUGUGGUAAUGUGUGGGAUAGAUGUGGUAAUGUGUGGGAUAGAUGUGGUAAUGUGUGGGAUAGAUG